AACGAACGCUGGCGGCAUGCUUAACACAUGCAAGUCGAACGAGACCUUCGGGCCUAGUGGCGCACGGGUGCGUACCGCGUGGGAACCUGCCCUUAGGUUCGGAAUAACUCCCUGAAGGGGGUGCUCAUACCGGUUAAUGUCUUCGGACCAAAGAUUUAUUGCGUUUGGAUGGGCCCGCGUUGGUUUGGCGAGUUGGUAGGGUAAAAGCCUACCAAGGCGACGUUGCAUAGCUGGUCGGGUAGGAGGACCAGCAACACUUGGGCUGCGACACGGCCUAGACUCCGACGGGAGGGAGCAGAGUAGAAUAUUGUACGAGGGGCGAUGACGUGAUCCAGCAGUGCGGCGUAAGUGAUGAAGGCGUUAGUGUAGUGAAGUUCUUUUACCCGGGAUGAUAAUGACGGUACCGGGUGAAUAAGCUCCGGCUAACUCCGUG
rnacentral:rRNA from 1 species